rnacentral:ncRNA from 1 species
CUUGACAUGCUGCGAAUCCUCUUGAAAGAGAGGGGUGCCUUCGGGAACGCGGACACAGGUAGUGCAUGGCUAUCGUCAGCUCGUGUCGUAAGGUGUUGGGUUAAGUCCCCCCCUUCUUCCACUCCGUCCCAGAGAGUAACUAGGACUAAUUUAGUCACAUUUUCAUGUUCCAAUUG